rnacentral:lncRNA from 1 species
UUUUUUUUUUUUUUUUUUUUUUUUUUUUUUUGAGUCCGGGACCUCUUUCAGUCCAAUGAAGUCUAUGAAAACCUUCUGAGUGAUGCUUAAUAGAAAACAAUUAUAGGGGCACUUGGGAGGCUCAGUGGUUGGCAUGUCUGCCUUUGGCUCAGGGCAUGGUCCUGGGAUGGAGUCCAGCAUCAGGCUCCCCAUGGGGAGCCUGCUUCUCCCUCUGUCUCUGCCUGUCUCUCAUGAAUAAAAAUCUUUAAAAAAAAUUUUGAAAUAGUUAUCAAAAUAUUUUUUGAAUUAUGUACACUUAGUGCAUUAAAUAAGUUCUAGCAGCAGAUCUAGUAUCUAUUUUGAAGUAGUAAUGGUGUUUCAAGAUAACUAGAACCUGAAAAAUGAUAUAUUUCAUACGUCAUAUGAAAAUACCUGACUGACUUUGACUUGCUAAUGCUACCAUGGUGUGGUACGUAUAUCCAGAAUUGACAGAAAUGCUUGAUUUCAGUUAGAGGCUAGUGCAAUCAAUUCUUCUUUCCUGUCCAGGUCCCCUGGACCCUGUAAAUUCCAUCCAUGGUCCCCUUACCCCUGUGUGAAGACCUUUCAUGCUAAUGCAGUUUCCAGGAUCUGGUGUCUGUGGUCAAAUUUGAAUUUGCAGUUGCUUCCAUCAUAACUAGAUCUAGUAGCACCAGCAUUUGAAAAAUUACCCCCCGGGGGGCACAGUUGGCUAGGCUUCUGACUCUUGGUUUCAGUUCAGGUCAUGGUCUGGGUCCUGGGAUAAAACCCCCCAUUGGAGAGCAAUGUGUCUGCUUGAACAAGGAGUCUGCUUGGAGAGAGAUUCUCUCUCUCCUCCUGUAAAAUAAAUCUUAAAACAACAACAAAAAAGGGACACCUAGGUGGCUCGGCAGUUGAGCAUCUGCAUUUGGCUCCUUGUGGUCUCAGGUUCCCGGGACUGAGUCCCACAGCAGGCUCCCUGCAUGAAGCCUACUUCUCCCUUUGCCUGUGUCUCUGCCUCUCUCUCUCUCUCUCUUUAAUGAAUAAAUAACAUUUUAAAAAAGAAAAAAACUUAGCCCCACCAGCCCUGCCCAAAAUACUUUGCAUUAGGAGGGCUUCACCAAAUGCCCUCUUUGUGGUACAGUGCAUGGUCUUUUCCUAAUAAGCAGCUCUUUAACAUGACUCAAUCCUCACUCCUUAGUUCUAGGGACUUUGAUCCAUUGAAGACACAGAUUGUACGUGUGUCAAACAAUUCUGAAGUUCUCAAGCCACUGUACCCACUCACAUUGUACCAUAUGUUUCUUAAAAGGUUGCAAAAGACUGUCUUCAGCCUAACACAGAGUGUAGCUUUUGGCCAAAGCCACACGGGUAACAUGAAUGACACAGUUAAUUCUAGUAUUCAGUGUACAGUCCUCUGCCCUUGUUAGUGUUAAGUGUCCCAGGAGGGGAAUAGUGUUUCACUUGUAUUGGUGGUUACCUAUGGAUUUGAAACAACCUACCUUCAUUUCUUUUCAUUUUGGUAAAAGAUCCCUUUAUGAGUAAGAGAAACUGAUUCCCCCUGUAGAGUUCUUUUAAAACAGACAUCUCUGGAUUUUGAGAAAAACUAGAUGCAUUUGCCUCUUCCAUCCCUCCAUCCCCAGGUGCAGAAAGACAUCUCUAAUAUCGGUAUCUGAGGGCAUCCAUGGUUGCAAAUGUCCUUUAGAAAUGUGCAGCCUUUGAAAGAAAAAAAUCUUUAUUCCAGAUACUCAUUUCUUCCCUGACCCUCACCCAGUCUCUAACCCAGGGGUCGGCAAACUUUUUUGUAAACCAGGUAGUAAAUAUCUUAGGCUUUGUGGCCAUUCCGUCUCUGUUGCAACAAUUCAACUCUGACCUCGUAGUAUAAAGGCAGCCGUGGACAAUACGUAAAGGAAUGCAUAGUUGUGCUCGAGGUAAUCUUUAUGGACAGUGAAAUGAGCUUCAUGUAAUUUUCCACGUCACAAAAUACUUUCUUUGAUUUGUUUUCUCAAGCAUUUAAAAAUCUAAAAACCGCUCUUAGCUCCGGGAUUGUGCAAAAACAGGUGGUGGAUUGCCCCGGGAAAGCCUGAGCAGAGGGUACAAGGGAUCUCUCUGUUACUUUGUACAACUGCAUUAUGGACCUACAGGUCUCAGUAGAAAGGUUUUGUGUUGUGUGGGGUUUUUUUCUUUUUUUUUCUUUUGUUUUUUAAUAGGCUGGGUUUGGUCCCUAAGCUAUAGUUUACAACCCCUGCCAGUCAGAACAGCUUAUGAAAAUACGGUAUUUGAUUUUAAACUGCUUGCGUUUCUUAGAUUGUUUUCGACAUGAACAGAAUGCUUGAGCAUGAUUUCUUCUGAUGUGUGCUGUUCCUAAAUAUUGCCUUUGUGUUGUAGUUCAAAUAGAAAAAAAGCCUUUGCCGUGUAGGAAUCCAUGUGAUUAAAGACUCCAGUGUUUCUCAAGCAUCUAACUGAUAGAUGAAGUGAGUUUACAUUUGUCAGAUGUUCGCUUAUUGAGGAAAGAUGAUGUGUCGAGCUUUCUAAUUAUGAAAGUCGUUUAUAAAAAAAAAGUCUUGCAUUCUAAGCGUCUUGUUUGUAUUUUAAAAUCGUAAUGCAUACACAUGGAUUAGGGAAAGAAAAAAGGAUGUGUCGUGAGAAGUCUCUCUAGGUUCCUCUUUGUCCCUUCCAAGAGGCGCUCCUCAUUAGCAAUGUCUUUGUAUCCAUAAAAGCUUUAAUUUCAAAUUUGUCAUCGUGGCUGUUUUUGUAUUGGGUUAGCUGCCAAAGGCAAUUAUAGUAGCUCCCAGUGGCAGGUGGGAGCCUCCAACACCUCAACUCCAUACAGCAACUUUCCAACAUAGGUGAUGCUGGCCCCACUUUAUAGAUCGAGCUCCUGAAAAAGUCAUCAGUCACUAGCAGGUAGUGGUCCUAGACAUUUCCUUGUCAUUCUCCCCAUUGUCGGCACAGGAAGCACCAGGGCAUGGGGCCAAAGGCCCUCUGUCUAGGCUCACACACCAAGCAGUAGUGAUCCUUGCCUCCCACCUUGUGAACGACCUCUCUCCAUUCUCUUUUCCUUUUCUACUCCUCCCAUCUACAUGGGGGCCUCCUCUGCAACAGGCUCCUGCAAAGGGCCAUCGUGGUCACCUUGGAGAUGCAUUCCCUGCAAGUCAUGGCACAUUACCUGUGACCAUUCCAAUAAGGAUUCCACGGAUCCAAAAAUCAGCUUUCUUUUUUUUUUUUUAAACAAGUAUUGAAGUUUUAAAAAUUGUUCUUGAAUAGGCAAAGACUAAUAGGACACAUAUCCUCUGACAGCUCUUGCAUUUUUAUAUCCGGUGGGCAUGGUCAACCAUUAAAAUAAGCCCACAUUUGUUUAGUCAGACUAAGCUACAAAUCCAUAGUCCUUCCUCUGGAAAACAGAGACUACAGUGAAGCAGACAAAACCUACCCCCUGACAAAGGCCUCUAAGACCAGAAAGCAGUGCCCUAGUGCUUGGCUCAGGGCGUUAGAUAGUGUGUUAAUCAACCAUUGCUGAAAUAAUAUUGCCUAACAACACCCCCCCCCCCCCAAAAAAAAAAAAAAAAAA